AUACGUAGGGGGCGAGCGUUGUCCGGAAUGAUUGGGCGUAAAGGGCGCGUAGGCGGCGCGGUAAGUCUGGAGUGAAAGUCCUGCUUUCGAGGUGGGAAUUGCUUUGGAUACUGCCGCGCUUGAGUGCAGGAGAGGUUAUCGGAAUUCCCGGUGUAGCGGUGAAAUGCGUAGAGAUCGGGAGGAACCCCAGUGGCGAAGGCGGGUAACUGGACUGCAACUGACGCUGAGGCGCGAAAGUGUGGGGAGCAAACAGGAUUAGAUACCCUGGUAGUCCACACUGUAAACGAUGAAUGCUAGGUGUAAGAGGUAUCGACCCCUUUUGUGCCGGAGUCAACACAAUAAGCAUUCCGCCUGGGGAGUACGGCCGCAAGGUUGAAACUCAAAUGAAUUGACGGGG
rnacentral:rRNA from 1 species